AGGUGCCCGUACCGCAAACCGACACAGGUAGUCAAGAUGAGAAUUCUAAGGUGAGCGAGCGAACGCUCGUUAAGGAACUCGGCAAAAUGACCCCGUAACUGCGGGAGAAGGGGUGCUCUUUAGGGUGCAAGCCCAGAAGAGCCGCAGUGAAUAGGCCCAAGCGACUGUUUAUCAAAAACACAGGUCUCUGCUAAACCGUAAGGUGAUGUAUAGGGGCUGACGCGUGCC
rnacentral:rRNA from 1 species